ensembl:lncRNA
GAGUUAAUAAGUCAGUCAGUGUUUCCCCACUUUCUAACAACGCAAACCUAGUUCUGGUGUUUGGCUGCUGCUUGUGCCGUUUCGCAGGUGGUUAAACUUAAACUACUAAGAACCGGUUGGCUUUUCCACGUUCUAGAGCCACGGCAUUACGUCACUGUAUACAUCUAUACGUCUCUCCGCUUUCCCAGCAACGUGCCCACUUUCAGCACAAAAACAACAAUGGUGGACCAUUUUUGCGCCAAGCCUACAAUGGCCUCCAAACACAUAUUUCUACUGCUUGUCAAGAUUCCUGUGGAGGCCAAUUACCUUCUAGGAGAAAGGUAUUCUUGCGGAUGAAGGCAAGGUGGUCAACUAUUGUGUGUGAACACCCUUGAUCUCACAACUCAGUUUAGUUGUUCCAUGACGAGAACAGUGGAAAGGUUGGGGACAGAUGGCGGGAGGAGUGCUGGCAAGAGUUUGUUGUGUU